rnacentral:rRNA from 1 species
CAGCCGCACGGUAAUACAGAGGGUGCGAGCGUUAAUCGGAUUUACUGGGCGUAAAGCGUGCGUAGGCGGCUUUUUAAGUCGGAUGUGAAAUCCCUGAGCUUAACUUAGGAAUUGCAUUCGAUACUGGGAAGCUAGAGUAUGGGAGAGGAUGGUAGAAUUCCAGGUGUAGCGGUGAAAUGCGUAGAGAUCUGGAGGAAUACCGAUGGCGAAGGCAGCCAUCUGGCCUAAUACUGACGCUGAGGUACGAAAGCAUGGGGAGCAAACAGGAUUAGAUACCCCCGUAGUCCCUGUCUCUUAUACA